rnacentral:rRNA from 1 species
CCUACGGGUGGCAGCAGUGGGGAAUAUUGCACAAUGGGGGAAACCCUGAUGCAGCGACGCCGCGUGAGUGAAGAAGUAUUUCGGUAUGUAAAGCUCUAUCAGCAGGGAAGAAAAUGACGGUACCUGACUAAGAAGCCCCGGCUAACUACGUGACAGCAGCCGCGGUAAUACGGAGGGGGCAAGCGUUAUCCGGAUUUACUGGGUGUAAAGGGAGCGUAGACGGCCAGACAAGUCAGAAGUGAAAGCCCAGGGCUCAACCCUGGGACUGCUUUUGAAACUGCCGGGCUGGAGUGCAGGAGAGGUAGGCGGAAUUCGUAGUGUAGCGGUGAAAUGCGUAGAUAUAAGGAAGAACACCAGUGGCGAAGGCAGAUUACUGGACGAUAACUGACGGUGAGGCGCGAAAGCGUGGGGAGCAAACAGGAUUAGAUACCCCUGUAGUC